UUGGAGGGCAAGUCUGGUGCCAGCAGCCGCGGUAAUUCCAGCUCCAAUAGCGUAUAUUAAAGUUGUUGCAGUUAAAAAGCUCGUAGUUGAAUUUCGGGAUCAAUUUGCUGGUCGUGCCUCUGGUACGUACUGGUAUUAUUGGUUUCUCCCUUCUGACGAACCAUGAUGUCAUUAAUUUGAUGUCGUGGAGAAUCAGGACUGUUACUUUGAAAAAAUUAGAGUGUUUAAAGCAGGCAUUAGCUUGAAUACAUUAGCAUGGAAUAAUGAAAUAGGACGUUUGAUCCUAUUUUGUUGGUUUCUAGGAUUGACGUAAUGAUUAAUAGGGAUAGUUGGGGGCAUUAGUAUUCAAUUGUCAGAGGUGAAAUUCUUGGAUUUAUUGAAGACUAACUACUGCGAAAGCAUUUGCCAAGGAUGUUUUCAUUAAUCAAGAACGAAAGUUAGGGGAUCGAAGACGAUCAGAUACCGUCGUAGUCUUAACCAUAAACUAUGCCGACUAGGGAUCGGAUGAUGUUAAUUUUUUAAUGACUCAUUCGGCGCCUUACGGGAAACCAAAGUGUUUGGGUUC
rnacentral:rRNA from 1 species